CCCGCUCCCGCCCGGCCGCGUUAACCCCUUCCCUCCGCCGGCUGUCCCGCCCUGCCCCCCCGGACCCCCGCCCGGACCCCCCGGGAUCCCGCCCUGCCCCCCCGUGACACCCCGGACCCCCGUCCUGUCCCACCGGGACCCCCAUUCUCACCUACGGGAUCCUCCCCGGGAUCCCCUCGGAUCCCCGCGCCUCCCCCUCCCCCGCACUCCACCCUGCCGCCAGCUCGGCGCGUGCCGCCUAAUUACAGACUAAUUGGGUGCCGCGACCGGGCCCCCCCCGCCCCAGUCCCCUACUCCAAAGCGGUGCAGAGAAGGAGGGCGGCGGGGACCCCCACCACCCAUGGGGUCCUCCACCGGGUGCCUCUUCCUGGGGAGGGACCCCCCCGGACCCCCCUCCCCGUCCCCAGGGGACGCCCUCAGCCCCUCCAACCGACCCCCGCCAAGCACCUCCCCUUCCUCAUGGCCCCUCCAAGAAUCCCCAGGGGCCCCCAGAAUCAAGAACCCCCUCCUCAGCCCCAGGAAGACCCCAAGGCCCCCCCGCAGCACCGCGCCCUCUUCCUGUCACUUUGCCCACAGCCAAGAUGGCGGCGCCCCUCAUGGCCCGCAAUCGGCGCGAAGCCGCGGGGGACGGACCCCGCCUGCCCUCUCACAAGAUGGCGGCCGCGGCCCCACGUCUCCUAAGGGCGUGGCGGCCUUGCCAGCUUGCCCUCAGCCAACAUGGCGGCCGCUCGCCCACGCUCCCGAGGGGCGCUGAAGCCGGCGGCCGGUGACCCGGAUGGGCCCGCCCCGCUGCCCUCACACGAGAAGGCGCCGCGGUGCCCGGCUUUCCCAAUAGGAGUGAAGGUGGAGAGGUGCGCGUGUCCCGGAUGUGGGCGGGGCCGCGGCCCCGGAUGUUGCGUCACGCUGGAGCCGCGGCGGCUGCCUGCGAGCGGGGAGCGGAGCGGACGGAGCCAACAUGGCGGUGCCGAGCCUGGGGCGGCCGUGAGGGGCAGGCCGCGGCGCCCUCAGCCCGGGCAGCCCCGCAGUGCCAGCGGGGCCCGCACAGCGCAGCGGCGGCCGAGCCGGCGGGCAUGGCGGGGGCGGCGUAAGGGAGGCCUCGGCGGUCCCUGUGGUGUUCAACAGGGACGCAGGGCACCGCGGAGGCCGCGACGAGCCUGGCUUCUUGAGCAGGCUCCCCCGGGAGAUACCCUAGUCCUAGGGAGCUGGUGGGGAGGAGACGAGCGCUGUCAUUGUUUAUCACUUAACCCGGUCCCGUUUCUGGAGGAGGUGCUACACUAA
rnacentral:lncRNA from 1 species